rnacentral:rRNA from 1 species
CCUACGGGAGGCUGCAGUGGGGAAUAUUGCACAAUGGGGGAAACUCUGAUGCAGCGACGCCGCGUGAGUGAAGAAGUAAUUCGUUAUGUAAAGCUCUAUUUGCAGGGAAGAAAAUGACGGUACGUGAGUAAGAAGCCCCGGCUAACUACGUGCCAGCAGCCGCGGUAAUACGGAGGCGGCAAGCGUUAUCCGGAUUUACUGGGUGUAAAGGGAGCGUAGACGGCAGUGCAAGUCUGAAGUGAAAGGCGGGGGCUCAACCCCCGGACUGCUCUGGAAACUGUACGGCUGGAGUGCAGGAGAGGUAAGUGGAAUGCCUGGUGUAGCGGUGAAAUGCGUAGAGAUUAGACGGAACACCGAUGGCGAAGGCAGCUUAC